rnacentral:rRNA from 1 species
AGCGAACGCUGGCGGCAGGCCUAACACAUGCAAGUCGAACGGAUCCUUCGGGAUUAGUGGCGGACGGGUGAGUAACACGUGGGAACGUGCCCUUUGGUUCGGUACAACUCAGGGAAACUUGUGCUAAUACCGGAUGUGCCCUUCGGGGGAAAGAUUUAUCGCCAUUGGAGCGGCCCGCGUCUGAUUAGCUAGUUGGUGAGGUAACGGCCCACCAAGGCGACGAUCAGUAUCUGGUCUGAGAGGAUGAUCAGCCACACUGGGACUGAGACACGGCCCAGACGCGGACGGGAGGGAGCAGAGGGGAAUCUUGCGAAAUGGGGGAAAGCCUGACGAAGCCAGGCCGCGUGAAUGAUGAAGGUCUUAGGAUUGUAAAAUUCUUUCAGCGGGGACGAUAAUGACGGUAACCGAAGAAGAAGCUCCGGCUAACUACGUG